UACCCUACGGGAGGCAGCAGUGGGGGAUAUUGCACAAUGGGGGAAACCCUGAUGCAGCGACGACGCGUGGGUGAAGAAGCGCCUCGGCGCGUAAAGCCCUGUCAGCAGGGAAGAAAAUGACGGUACCUGAAGAAGAAGCCCCGGCUAACUACGUGCCAGCAGCCGCGGUAAUACGUAGGGGGCAAGCGUUAUCCGGAUUUACUGGGUGUAAAGGGGGCGCAGACGGCGAUGCAAGCCAGGAGGGAAAGCCCGGGGCCCAACCCCGGGACUGCUCUUGGACCUGCGUGGCGAGCGUGCGGGAGGGG
rnacentral:rRNA from 1 species